rnacentral:rRNA from 1 species
UCAGGACGAACGCUGGCGGCGUGCCUAACACAUGCAAGUCGAGCGAGGAGAUUCCUCGGGAUGAUCCUAGCGGCGGACGGGUGAGUAACACGUGGGCAACCUGCCUCAUAGAGAGGAAUAGCCUUCCGAAAGGGAGAUUAAUACCUCAUAACAUUGCAGUUUCGCAUGGAACAGCAAUUAAAGGAGUAAUCCGCUAUGAGAUGGGCCCGCGGCGCAUUAGCUAGUUGGUGAGGUAACGGCUCACCAAGGCGACGAUGCGUAGCCGACCUGAGAGGGUGAUCGGCCACAUUGGGACUGAGACACGGCCCAGACUCCUACGGGAGGCAGCAGUGGGGAAUAUUGCACAAUGGGGGAAACCCUGAUGCAAGCAACGCCGCGUGAGUGAUGACGGCCUUCGGGUUGUAAAGCUCUGUCUUCAGGGACGAUAAUGACGGUACCUGAGGAGGAAGCCACGGCUAACUACGUGCCAGCCGCUGC